rnacentral:rRNA from 1 species
CCUGCCCAGUGACAAAAUUUAACGGCCGCGGUACCCUAACCGUGCAAAGGUAGCACAAUCACUUGUUCUUUAAAUGAGGACCAGUAUCAAUGGCAUCACGAGGAUCUUACUGUCUCCCCCCCCCAAUCAGUGAAACUGAUCUCCCCGUGAAGAAGCGGGGAUAUUUUUAUAAGACGAGAAGACCCCAUGGAGCUUUAAACCCAAUGACACCCACUUAUCCAAUACCCUCACACACCCCUGGUGACUGAUCAUU